GAUGAACGCUGGCGGCGUGCCUAAUACAUGCAAGUCGAGCGAACAGACGAGGCUCUUGCUCCUCUGACGUUAGCGGCGGACGGGUGAGUAACACGUGGAUAACCUACCUAUAAGACUGGGAUAACUUCGGGAAACCGGAGCUAAUACCGGAUAAUAUAUUGAACCGCAUGGUUCAAUAGUGAAAGACGGUUUUGCUGUCACUUAUAGAUGGAUCCGCGCCGCAUUAGCUAGUUGGUAAGGUAACGGCUUACCAAGGCAACGAUGCGUAGCCGACCUGAGAGGGUGAUCGGCCACACUGGAACUGAGACACGGUCCAGACUCCUACGGGAGGCAGCAGUAGGGAAUCUUCCGCAAUGGGCGAAAGCCUGACGGAGCAACGCCGCGUGAGUGAUGAAGGUCUUCGGAUCGUAAAACUCUGUUAUUAGGGAAGAACAAAUGUGUAAGUAACUAUGCACGUCUUGACGGUACCUAAUCAGAAAGCCACGGCUAACUACGUG
rnacentral:rRNA from 1 species